rnacentral:rRNA from 1 species
UCACUUUUGGAUGGUCCCGCGGCGUAUUAGCUAGAUGGAGGGGCAACGGAUCACCAUGGCAAUGAUACGUAGCCGACCUGAGAGGGUAAUCGGCCACAUUGGGACUGAGACACGGACCAAACUCCUACGGGAGGCAGCAGCAGGGAAUCUUCCACAAUGGACGAAAGUCUGAUGGAGCAACGCCGCGUGAGUGAAGAAGGGUUUCGGCUCGUAAAACUCUGUUGUUAAAGAAGAACAUAUCUGAGAGUAACUGUUCAGGUAUUGACGGUAUUUAACCAGAAAGCCACGGCUAACUACGUGCCAGCAGCCGCGGUAAUACGUAGGUGGCAAGCGUUGUCCGGAUUUAUUGGGCGUAAAGCGAGCACAGGCGGUUUUUUAAGUCUGAUGUGAAAGCCUCCGGCUCAACCCAAUAACUGCACUCUGAUACUGGGAAACUUGAGUGCAUAAGACGACCGUGCAACUCCUUGUGUACGUGUGAAAUCUCUAGAUCAU